GACGAACGCUGGCGGCGUGCUUAACACAUGCAAGUCGAACGGAAAGGCCCUGCUUUUGUGGGGUGCUCGAGUGGCGAACGGGUGAGUAACACGUGAGUAACCUGCCCUUGACUUUGGGAUAACUUCAUGAAACUGGGGCUAAUACCGGAUAGGAGCUCCUGCUGCAUGGUGGGGGUUGGAAAGUUUCGGCGGUUGGGGAUGGACUCGCGGCUUAUCAGCUUGUUGGUGGGGUAGUGGCUUACCAAGGCUUUGACGGGUAGCCGGCCUGAGAGGGUGACCGGCCACAUUGGGACUGAGAUACGGCCCAGACUCCUACGGGAGGCGGCAGUGGGGAAUAUUGCACAAUGGGCGGAAGCCUGAUGCAGCAACGCCGCGUGCGGGAUGACGGCCUUCGGGUUGUAAACCGCUUUCGCCUGUGACGAAGCGUGAGUGACGGUAAUGGGUAAAGAAGCACCGGCUAACUACGUG
rnacentral:rRNA from 1 species